rnacentral:rRNA from 1 species
UACGAGGGGUGCAAGCGUUAUUCGGAUUUAUUGGGCGUAAAGGGUGUGUAGGCGGUUUUUUAAGUCAUCUAUUAAAUACCUUGGCUUAACCAAGGAAAUGUGGGUGAAACUAGAAGACUAGAGUGUGGAAGAGAGAAGUGGAAUUCUCGGAGUAGCGGUAAAAUGCGUAGAUCUCGAGAGGAACACCGAUGGCGAAGGCAGCUUCUUGGUCCAUUACUGACGCUGAAACACGAAAGCGUGGGGAGCAAACAGG